AUCUCUUCCUGGAGAUUGCUCCUUGUGGAGUUUUUACGAGCCUACAACACCGCAGGUGGAAUAUGGCUGCUUGAGAAACCUGAUGCCAAUGAAUGUAUAAGGCAAGAAGCUGCUCCCAGUAUUGUCUCUCUGUGACAGCGGGUGCUGAAGAUUCCUGAGCUGUGUAACAGGGACGUCUCCCAGAGAUGAAAACUGGUCUUGGACAGCACUGAAACUUCAAUCAGACCCACAAAGUCCUGGGAGAUCCCAAGCAUUAUCAGAACAAAGGAAAAUAGUUGUGUUUUGAAAGUAUUUUGAAAGGCCAGCUUUCCUUUCAGGGCUCCUCAUUUUUCCAGUGGAUUUUUCUUUGUAACUUUUCCUUACGAUUAAGAAUGGUACUUUUCUGCAAAAUACUUUCUUGUCAUUUAAGACAGCCUUUUGUUUUCCUUUAGGGAAAAGUGAUCAUCACCCAAAGUGUUGCAUUUGGUUUAGUUUUGAUACCUAGAUCUGGUCAGUCAGGAACUUUCGUACCAUGCUGCAGGUACCUUGUGGGCAAAGAGAGCAGCAAGCAGGCAGAACCAUCACAGACUGCAUGAGACCACCUCAAAUUCCUUGUGGACUCAAGGGUAUUAUUAGGCUCUCUUUAUCUCCAUAGCUGACUAGGUCACUUAAAGGAUAUAUUCCAUCUCUUAUCCCCUUCAGUGUAACGACUGUAUUCAUAGAAUCAUCCCAAGUGGGGAUAGGGACCCGUAAGAGUCGCUGGUCCAACUCCUUGCUCCAUACAGGACUCCCUCACAGUCAGACCGUACUGUCUCAGUGAAUCAUGUUAUGAGUCUGAUGUCCACGCAGGACCCUGAUUUGUUUCUCAUGAGUCCUUAGGACAGACAGGUGUGCUGGUAAUUUCAUAGAAGUUUGCUGUAAUUUAACCCUGAUAUUGUUAGUGGAAUUCUCAGAGAAAAGAGAAAUGACGGUGACCAAAAAGAAAAGCUAGUUUGUGUAAAAUGUUUGCAGUGAAAAGCCUUGAUCUUGCUCACGCAGAUGGAGAGAUACUAACUUUAUUUGUGUUAAACAAUUGAACUGAGAGUAGGAACUAAUAUGAAUAUUUAUAGUUGCUCGUUGUCUAGCUCACCCUAAAUUUAACCUCUCUGCUCAUCUUUUCCUUAAAGAUGGCUUCGCCCCCCAUUUUUUUGGUUAACAAGUUGUUUGAGAAACACACAGCUUACGGAAAGUAAUGGGUCUUUCAUUGUGCAGUUCUGAUCUCUACUGCCCGCAGAGAUCUCAGGUUUGCUUUGUAUUGAUUUUUGCAUCUGAAGUGCAGUUUAGUAGUACAAAAAUGAAUGGAGAAGCUGCUCACACUCAAGGAGACUUUAGGCAUUGAGCCUGGGGAGCUUUUAAGAGGGGAAAAAACACUGGGCAUUCUCCCUCGGAACAUCUUUCGGUAGGAUUGCAUGUCAAAAUACAUUGCAUCCAGAUGUCAUGCUCCAUCCCAGAGAGGUUAGGCAGUAGUAAGAAGUGUGACAGAGAUAGUUCAGUAUGUCUCCUUCCAGGUCUCUUUGGUAUUACCACCACAAACUUACCGCCUUUCAGAACUCCUCUCUCUAGGGCUUGUGUUUGUCCGAGCCUGCCAUAACUUAUGGCCUACUGCAAAUGAUCCCUUUUCACAUCCAGACCCAAAAGCUUGUGCCAGCUUAUUCUACUUGGGAAUAUGCCAUUUGGUAUGGAAAUGCAGCAGUUCUCCAAAAUACCUUACUUAGAUUUUUCCCAGAAACCUGGCAAUGUCAAAUAAUCUGUAUUUGCUCACGCAAGGUCAUUGUUUCAUGGCUGAUUAACAUUCUCUUGGCCUCAAAUGUAAAGGAAAAAAACAAAUAAGCACCCAAAAGCUUAUGUUAACUCAAGAUGUUAGCUUCAGUUAAGUCUUGUCACUUUUUUAAUGUGAUGUGGAUCAGUUGUGGUCAACUAAAUCUACUGAAAUGAAUAUAUUCAGUCAAUAAAACAGAAUGUGAAAACCUAGCUAUCUCUGCAGUUGGGUGGAGGCAAGGCAGUGGAUGGCUGACUGUUAGAUCUUUCUACUGGUGAGCUGCAGCGUAUUUGUGAUUACAAGGCCACCCUCCUCUUCUUUUUGCAGGUUUGUUUGACUAUUGUGUUUGAGAGGGCUGUGCCACACCUUUAGAGUAAGUCCCUU
ensembl:lncRNA